rnacentral:rRNA from 1 species
UACGUAGGGUGCGAGCGUUGUCCGGAAUUAUUGGGCGUAAAGAGCUUGUAGGCGGUUUGUCGCGUCUGCCGUGAAAGCCCAGGGCUUAACCCUGGGUCUGCGGUGGGUACGGGCAGACUAGAGUGUGGUAGGGGAGACUGGAAUUCCUGGUGUAGCGGUGAAAUGCGCAGAUAUCAGGAGGAACACCGAUGGCGAAGGCAGGUCUCUGGGCCACUACUGACGCUGAGGCGCGAAAGCGUGGGGAGCAAACAGG